AACGAACGCUGGCGGCAUGCCUAACACAUGCAAGUCGAACGAGACCUUCGGGUCUAGUGGCGCACGGGUGCGUAACGCGUGGGAACCUGCCCUUAGGUUCGGAAUAACUCCCCGAAAGGGGUGCUAAUACCGGAUAAUGUCUUCGGACCAAAGAUUUAUCGCCUUUGGAUGGGCCCGCGUUGGAUUAGCUAGUUGGUAGGGUAAAAGCCUACCAAGGCGACGAUCCAUAGCUGGUCUGAGAGGAUGAUCAGCCACACUGGGACUGAGACACGGCCCAGACCCCUACGGGGGGGAGCAGUGGGGAAUAUUGGACAAGGGGCGAAAGCCGGAUCCAGCAAGGCCGGGUGAGUGAUGAAGGCCUUAGGGUUUAAAAGCUCUUUUACCCGGGAUGAUAAGGACAGUACCGGGAAAAUAAGCCCCGGCUACCUCCGG
rnacentral:rRNA from 1 species